GGCCUCCCUCUUUGGGGCAAUUGAUCAGGGAGCCCUCCCAUUGAUCGCCCUGCAGAGGGUGGCC
rfam:Myotis brandtii contig175441, whole genome shotgun sequence.